rnacentral:rRNA from 1 species
GGCUGUCGUCAGCUCGUGUCGUGAGAUGUUGGGUUAAGUCCCGCAACGAGCGCAACCCUUGUCAUUAGUUGCUACGAAAGGGCACUCUAAUGAGACUGCCGGUGACAAACCGGAGGAAGGUGGGGAUGACGUCAAGUCCUCAUGGCCCUUAUGGGUAGGGCUUCACACGUCAUACAAUGGUACAUACAGAGGGCCGCCAACCCGCGAGGGGGAGCUAAUCCCAGAAAGUGUAUCGUAGUCCGGAUCGCAGUCUGCAACUCGACUGCGUGAAGUUGGAAUCGCUAGUAAUCGCGGAUCAGCAUGUCGCGGUGAAUACGUUCCCGGGUCUUGUACACACCGCCCGUCACACCAUGGGAGCGGGUUUUACCAGAAGUAGGUAGCUUAACCGCAAGGAGGGCGCUUACCACGGUAGGAUUCGUGACUGGGGUGAAGUCGUAACAAGGUAGCCGUAUCGGAAGGUGCGG